rnacentral:rRNA from 1 species
UGCCUAACACAUGCAAGUCGAACGCGAAAGCCCCGCAAGGGGCAAGUAGAGUGGCAAACGGGUGAGUAACACGUGGGUGACCUGCCUUCGAGCGGGGGAUAACGUCCCGAAAGGGACGCUAAUACCGCAUAACAUCCUGCCUUUGAAGAGGUGGAGAUCAAAGCUGGGGAUCGCAAGACCCGGCACUUGAAGAGGGGCCCGCGCCUGAUUAGCUAGUUGGUGGGGUAAUGGCCUACCAAGGCAACGAUCAGUAUCCGGCCUGAGAGGGCGGACGGACACACUGGGACUGAGACACGGCCCAGACUCCUACGGGAGGCAGCAGUGGGGAAUUGUUCGCAAUGGGCGCAAGCCUGACGACGCAACGCCGCGUGGAGGAUGAAGAUCUUCGGGUCGUAAACUCC